CAGACCGUUGUGCUUUUGUUCAGUUCCCUCAAGAGUUCUAUGAUUCUAACUCCAACGAACUAGCCGUCGUACAAUCAUAUUUGGGAAGAGGUGUUGCAGGAAUCCAAGGACCGCUAUAUUGUGGCUCAGGAUGCUUCCAUACUAGAAGAGUUAUGUACGGCUUAUCUCCAGAUGAUUUGGAAAACAACGGAGAUCUUUCGUCGGCUGCUACAAAGUUUUUGGAUGAGGAUAGUUUAGCGAGGAAAUUUGGGAGUUCUAAAGAGUUGGUCAUAUCGAUUGUGGAAGCUUUUGCAAGGAAAAUCAAAUCCCAAAACUAGCCUUACAGACUUCAUAGAAGCGGCUCAAAUGGUGGGCAUUGUCACUACGAGCACCAAACCAAUUGGGGGAAAACUCUCGGUUGUUUAUACGAUUCUGUGGCGGAAGAUAUGAACACAAGUAUUGGAAUCCAUUUGAGAGGAUGGAGUAGCUCAUACAUUUGUCCGGAUCCACCUGCGUUUCUUGGAUCUACGCCGUCGGUGGGAUUUGAGGCGAUAGUACAGCAGCGGCGAUGGGGGACGGGAGCGAUCGAAGUCCUUUUUAACAAGCAAAGUCCGUUAAGAGGAAUGUUUAGCAGCAAAAUAAGAUUCCGACAACGAUUAGCUUAUCUUUGGGUUCUAAUGUGUCUAAGGUCAAUC